rfam:Microvirga lotononidis strain WSM3557 genomic scaffold Micloscaffold_13, whole genome shotgun sequence.
AGUCAAGAGUCUUGGCGUCGUUUUGGCGAGCGGAUUUCCUUUGCCCUGAGCAAGGCAAAGAACAUG